CCGGCAAGGGUAUCCUUGCUGCUGAUGAGUCCACUGGCACCAUUGGCAAGCGCCUUUCCAGCAUCAAUGUCGAGAACGUUGAGGAGAACCGCCGUGCCCUCCGUGAGCUCCUAUUCUGCUGCCCUGGUGCUCUCCAGUACAUCAGCGGUGUGAUCCUCUUCGAGGAGACCCUGUACCAGAAGACCAAGGAUGGCAAGCCUUUUGUUGAUGUCCUCAAGGAGGGAGGCGUCCUCCCUGGCAUCAAGGUUGACAAGGGCACCAUUGAGGUUGUUGGCACUGAUAAGGAGACCACCACCCAAGGCCAUGACGACCUUGGCAAGCGUUGCGCCAAGUACUACGAGGCAGGUGCCCGCUUUGCCAAGUGGCGCGCUGUUCUCAAGAUUGGCCCUAAUGAGCCAUCACAGCUUGCCAUCGACCUGAACGCUCAGGGUCUGGCUCGCUAUGCCAUCAUCUGCCAGGAGAAUGGUCUGGUGCCAAUUGUUGAGCCUGAGAUCCUUGUUGAUGGCCCUCAUGACAUUGAUCGCUGCGCUUACGUCACUGAGACCGUCCUUGCUGCCUGCUACAAGGCGCUCAACGAGCACCAUGUCCUCCUGGAGGGUACCCUCCUGAAGCCCAACAUGGUGACUCCAGGCUCCGACUCCAAGAAGGUGACCCCUGAGGUGAUUGCUGAGUACACCGUCCGUACCCUCCAGAGGACCGUCCCUGCUGCUGUGCCUGCUGUUGUCUUCCUCUCUGGUGGACAGAGCGAGGAGGAGGCCACCCGCAACCUCAAUGCCAUGAACAAGCUCAGCACCAAGAAGCCGUGGUCCCUGUCUUUCUCCUUCGGCCGUGCCCUCCAGGCGAGCACCCUCAAGGCCUGGGCUGGCAAGGUGGAGAACCUGGAGAAGGCU
rnacentral:lncRNA from 1 species